rnacentral:rRNA from 1 species
UACGGAGGGUGCAAGCGUUAUCCGGAUUCACUGGGUUUAAAGGGUGCGUAGGAGGGCAGGUAAGUCCGUGGUGAAAUCUCUGAGCUUAACUCAGAAACUGCCGUGGAUACUACCGGUCUUGAAUAUCGUGGAGGUGAGCGGAAUAUGUCAUGUAGCGGUGAAAUGCUUAGAUAUGACAUAGAACACCCAUUGCGAAGGCAGCUCACUACCCGAAUAUUGACUCUGAGGCACGAAAGCGUGGGGAUCAAACAGG